GUUCUUGGCAUUUUACAACAGAAAAAUUUUAACAAGUAUUUAUUUGUUGCAGCCAAAGAACAAAAGAAGUCUGAAGCUCGCAAAUAAUCAUAAUUGCUGCUAGGAAGUUCUCGUGCGAAACUUGUACUCCCCCUGGUAGGACAAUAUAUUUGCUCUUUUAGUUGAUUUACUAUCAAUGACCAUAAUCAUGCCACUGGCGGCCAUUGCGAAAACUAUUUCCCGUCACUUUUAGCUCACUAUUUGACCAUAUAUUGUCUUUUAAAUAGAGUUUGAACAUUUCUUGUAAGUUUUGGUUCUCUAUUUUGUUAUGGCCUAAUGGGAUGUACGGAGCCUAAUGAAAUUGUGCUCUAAGCUAGACUUAAAUACCAGGUUAACUGAGUUGGUAACAGAUGGUCCUUUUACGUAAACUCACUCUCUCUGUUUGAUAUCCAGGAAAUGGAAAAGCGAGUUAUUAGAGACUAAACUAGUUUCUUCAAUUCGUCUAUUAGGGUUUGCGAUGGAUAACUUGUUCAUUUGAUUGCCAACUAUGUUAACUCAUAGUUUCCCAUAUGACGUUGACGUUGAACGCUCCACAACCCGUUUGUAAAUUGGUCCUAGCUGGUAUAAGUUUCUCGACAAUUGUUGCUCAAAUAGUCAUCCCGAGGACAUAGGUCAAGGAAAAUAGUCUUCUGGUUCUAGAUAUGAGAUCGUUUCUGCUUUUCUGUUUUAACUUGAAGAUCGGAUUCUAGUUCGAAUACUAUAUCAUUAAUUUUGUUACCUUUUUAUUUCCACAUGAUUGUAGUUCGACAUCGUAUUUUGUUCUAAACGGAAUAUAGAUUAAAUGAUGUCACAUUCAACGUUUCUUACCACAUUUUCUCAGUGAGUAGAGAAAAGUGCCAACGGUUCUACUUGUAUGCAUUAUUGUACUAUCUUGUGUCUAUGAUUAGAUAUGUGAUAUGAAAUAGGUUUAUACGGUUUUGAAGAGAUUGAGAUCCUCUGUCCCGAUUCUCUAUACCAACUUCUGUUCCACGGCUCAUGGGUCGACAUGUGUCCAUCUACUAGUAACCCCAAAAUACGGAAACCAACACUAGAUCCUUCUGAUACAAAUGAAACCUAAACGCGUUGUGCCCUUCUCUCCCCUCUUUCCAUACCCUUACUUCCAUAUACCCUUCCAACGCGUUGUGUGGCCCAAAAACAGUUAGUUCGGUCAUGGAUGACACAGCAGGAUUUUUAUAUGAAGGUGAAUAUAAAUUACGGAGUGUAACAACGGAGAAGAGAGAAUUUGUAACUAGGCCAUGAGGAUUUAUUUCAAAUUUGAGGUGACGAGUGAUAUAAUAUUGAAUAUAUUGUUAUAGCUAAUAUUAUUGGAAAUUUGAGUUUUUUUAAAAAAAUUUGGGAUGGUUGUACGCCCCCAGCUUCCUCCUUGUUCAUAGUUGGUUCCUAACUAAAAAAUCUCAGUAUUUUUAGUUCGGGCUAAUUUAUGAAAAAGGUUUCUUGUUUAGGAGGCUAAAACCUCAAGUUUUUAGCAAGCAUUUCAUUGGUUGUUUGGGAUAUGUACCAAGUGUGUUAUUUUGUCAUUUUACUAUUUUUAUGCCCAAGACGUGACAUGAAUGAAAGUCUCCUACCCAAAAACUGAAAGUAUUUUCGACAUUAACCUUGUGUUUGGGGUAUGGGGAUGUGAAUUGACCUAAACAAUGAAGGAUAAACUUGCCCAAACAUACUAGGACUAAAUUAUCACUGUCUGAAUUCUAAAAAACUCAAGCCAAACACACCAUUAAAAAAAAAGAAGUGGAAUGUACAACACUUGCCCACACCAAUUUUAAUCUUUGUUGAACAUGUCUGUUCUAUCCUCAUCCACCGUGAAAAAAUCAAUCAACGUCCUUCCAUAUACUUCUUACUCUAUACGCCGACAUACGAGAGAGGAGAGAGAGAAUCUAUUUGAGUUGGUGGUGGUUCAUGGACAUGAUGAAUUAGAAACGGACGGUUUUCAUGCAACAGAAGACAUACUUGUGACGACAGAGAAAGAGAGAGGAAUUCUGCCAGAUCGAUAUAUUCUCAAAUCACUGAAACUCAAUCAAUCACAACCUUAGGAGCAUUUAGUCAUACCCAACCCCUGUUCCUCUCGGUUGCACGUAAUUUAAUCUGCCACACUCAACCACCUAUUGACCGUCAAGACUCAAAACUGCUUCUCUCUUUCUCUCUCUCUCUGUCUCUGUUCUCGGUCUCGGUCCUCUGUCUCUGUCUCUCUCCUCCCCCUUGUGAAUAUAUUAGCUUCCAAGAAAAAUGAUAAGAGUUUUAGGCUGCGUUUGACCUAUAUUUUAGCUGGUUGUUUUGUUUUAAAAAAAGUAAUUUUUUUGAACUGUUUGGCAUGUUGUGUUUCGGUGGGCAGCUGUGUUUGGGUAGAUUGUUUUUUAGUCCUGUUUUAAGAGCUAGUUGACUUAAAUUUGUUGGUAAAUCAAGAAGAUACUAGUAAUUUUUGAUGGUAAAAAACUUGAUGAUUCUUUAUCAAUCCUAAACAAAAAAAUUAAUAUUUUUAUUUCACUUUUCAAAUAUUAAUCAAGCGAAAAAUUGAGAAUUUUUAGUUAGACCAAAGAGGCCUUAUUUGUUAUCUUAUCAUGAAAAUGAAACUAUGGUCCACUUGAUUCAAGGUAUUUUCACUGUUUAACUAAUCACAAUCCAUCUUAUGGGUGACAAAACUUUGUCGUAGUUAGAAUUAGGACAAGAUUUGAGCUUUACUUGUAAAGAUAGCGUUUAUCGGUGUGGAUCUAAAAAAAAAAAUUUUCUAAAUUAUUUAUCUGGUAAGUCAGUAUGAAAAGAGCAUUAAAUAAAAAAUAGGUACGUGAGAUAUUAGUAGUACAUAAUGAAUGAUAUUAUUUUAAAAAAUUGAUAGUCUAUAAUGGAAAUCAAAUUGCCAAAGUGGAUAAAACUGAUCCAAUCAACAGGAUUUUGACAGAACAAUUUGAAUCAUCAGUAGAGGUUUCAGGUGGUCACAUCAAUCCAAAUCUCUGCUAAACUUCAAAUUUAGAGGCCAUGUAAUUGGUAACAAACGGAGCUGAGGUAAUGGUCGAGGAGACGGAUCCAUAAUUACGGAACCUAUAAUGAGGAGUUACAAGUGCAAUUGGCUAUAAUUUGAGGAUUACGAAAAUCUUAUAAUUUAAACAGUAUUAUUAUAAUAAAUAAAUUUUUUUUAAUUUUAAAAAAAGUGUGAUCGCCUCUCGGCCUCAUUAGAUUCAACCGUCGUUGAUUAUGGACAUGGCUGUCGGUGUGGUCAAGCACAACUGCCGAAAUUCGAGAAAGAGAAACAAAUGAACUCCUUUCCGUUGUGGGUCAGGACCUUAUGAUUUGUGCCCAAAAUAGAUAGAACGAUACGGUUCGAAAACAGUAGCACAUUGACACAACGACAUACAAAACAAACAUUCACAGUCCACACCACUUGCUUUGGCUGGGGUCACCUACCGUAUGCCUUUUAAAUUAGGAAAGUAGGAACACAGUGUGACUCUGGAGAAUGGAUGAUGAGAAUAAUGAAGAUUACUACAUUGUUUGGUAAUUGAGGGAUGAUGAGUUGCUUAAAAUGUGUGUAUUGUGAUAGAUAUUUAUUAAAAGUAUUUUCAAGUGAUGCCACAUAUUACUCUAAAAGGUAUUUAGGCCUCCGUUGGUAUGUUUAAAGCCAAGCUUUUUUUUUAAGACUUGACUACUAAAAAUGUCAAGAAUUUUUGGACUUUUUUGCUUUUGAGUUUUACUUUACAAACAACAAAAAAGCAAAAAAGCAAAAAGCAAAAAAGCCAACUCUGAUUGGCUUUUUUGCUAUUUUAAGCCAAAAAAAACCAGAAAAAAACUAAAAAAAAAUGGAUGCCAAACAGAGCCUUAAUCAUUUUCUUGGACUGAAUCAUUGUUGAUUAGAGAAAUUACUUACAGUUUUUUUAUACUUUUAAUUAUCAGAUCGCACUACAUAUUUCAAUUUUAAUUAGGUCAGUUAAAAAUUAUUCGAAGGUAUAAUGGUUUUACUAACCAUUGUCCAAGAUGUGGUGUUUCAAUAUACACGUUUCAUGAAUAUUUAUACUAUUGAGAUGUUUGAAUAUACUGUUCAUGAAAGAUUUAUAUCCAUGUUUUAAUAGCAAAAAGGAAAUACAUUUUUGUUGUUCCUGUUAAAACUAAGUAUUGAUGUGAUAUUUUAUCCCAUGUCGUUUAAGUGACAAAAGAGGCAAUGUGAUUUCAGUAACAUGCCAAGUGAUUCCUAAUUAGGAAGCAUUAGAUGAAAAUAUACGUUCAUACUUAACUUUGUAAAGUAUGUGGAUGACCACGGCACCAUUAGAAGUAAAAGAUAGAUAUAAAAACAAUUUAACUAAAUGUUACACUGUGUAAUUACACUUCUUAUUAAAUUUCAUUUUCGGCGGCCGGCCCUCCAAUACGUACGAUGAGCAGCCCAAUGUAAUUUGUUAUUUUUUACAUCGAAUUUUCCUUAGCAUUUUCCUCUUUAAAAUCAUAGACAAGAAAGCUCACAUUCAAUUUCACAAAAUUUAACUAUUCGAGUUGAAAUAAAGUCUUGCAGUUACAAACACCUCAUUUACUUGAAGAAAAAGCAAGAAAACAUAACUAUUCCAUAGAAACUUUGAUAUAGGGAUAUCCUGGAAAACCACAUUAGGGGGGAGAGAGAGAGAGAGAGAGGAGCGAAACAAAAGCAACCCUAAUGACAGAAAAGCAAGCCUAGUCUUUAACUUCCACACUUCUCUUUGAUCUGCAGUAAAAAAAAUGGACAAAUAUAUUAUACUUAGAUGGAUAUGAAGUGAAGACAUACAUAUCUUUAAUUACAAUAAUAUUAAUUUGAUUAUCAAAGCCAACAUGAAAGCUACAAAUGCAAAAGGUCUCAUAACCAAAUCAAUAAAAUUAAUAAUUAAUAAUAAUAAUAAAAGAAUAAUAAAUCUAAAUUGACCACAGAACUAGCAAUAGAAAAUAUAUGGACAGAAAUGGUAGAUUCCACCUUACACAUAUUGCAUAAGCUUUGUGUAUGAGAAGUUAUAUAUAAGUAUAGAAAGACAAACUUAAAUAAAGAAUAAAAGUAAAAAUGUAUAUUAAACAUAAAGGAUAUUCAGAAUAUAUUUUAUUUUUUUUUUUUUUUUUGAAAUAUUGUUAAUCAUAAAUAGCAAUAUAUAUCAUAUUAUAUUCUGAAUAUAUGUCUAAAGAUAUUCAAUAUAUUCAACAAAUGCUACUACCAUGUAUUUGAUACACGCUAAUGGAAUCCCAUGCAUACAUUUUAAAUAUUGAGUAUUUUUUAGAUAAUAUUUUAGAUUUUGUCUAUUGCUGUUGAAGAAAAAAAAUCAACAAUGCUAGUCUCACGAAUCCAGAAAAGUAGGAAAAUUAGAAAUAUAUCAAAAAUUCAUUAAUAGCUUAAUUUUUGGGUAUUUAAUGUAGUCCGUUGGGAAUGCUUAAAAGUCAAGUUAUUUUUAAAAUUCUACCAAAAGAGUCAAGAUUUUUUUAUUUUUUUGUUUUUUGGCUUUAUUUUAGCUAAAACAUAAAAAAAUUAUAUAACUGACUAUUUAUUAUAAACUUAAAAAAAAUCCACUAAAAAAAAAUGGUACCAAAGGAGUCUAAGAAAAAGAGGAUCAUCGAAGUACCAUAUGAGUGUGGUGUUUGUGGAGCAGAACGUGAUGGGAGUUAACGUGCGCUGGAGGUAGUCGAAGCCCCCAGCUGGAGUGAAAUGGAGGUGACGCCAAACUCAUUGGGCCACCCCUGGUGACCAGUUGCAGUGCACCAGACAUCGAGCGUCGUCCCCGAACGCUCUCGCACCGUUGAAUGGCCCACCCAACCUCCCCAAACGCCACGUCGUUAAAUGAACACCGCGACUUUUGUGAUUCCACCAGGCAAUCGCACCUGCGCGCAGAGGAUCAGGUUCCGCGAUUAGUCAUGUGAACGAGACCAAAGCAAUGGUCAAUCAAGACAAGCAGCAGGGAGGGUGCGGGGAGACAUGCACAAGGUCCAUUCUUAGAAUUUACAUCGCCAAUUCCGGACGAAAGACAAUUAUACCCGUCCCGAGUGUGAUAUUGAUAUGUGGGACAUCUCACACUAUACAGCAUCUAGAUGAUAUUUUAAUAAAAUUUUAAUAUAUCAAUGAUUAUAAAUUUUAUGCACGUAAAAUAUAGUAAAUCAAAACGGAAAAUAUAAUCUUAAACAUAUCAUAGUUUAUAAAAUAUUAUGUACAUGUGACAUAUUAAUUAAAUACUGCUAAAUAAAAAACUUCAGUUAUAUUAGGUUCACAUAAGUGAUAUUAAAAUCAUAAUUAUUAGAUAUAAGUAAAACUUCACAAAUACCUAAUAAAUAAAUAAAUUUUAUAUAUAAUAUAUAUCAGUCGAAAUCAAAACCGAACAAAAAUGAGUUAAGCAUAAAUUUGCUAAACAUGAUAUAUAUAUAUAUAUAUAUAUAGAUAUUAAUUCUAUAUAUAUAUAUAAUCAUAGACUUUAUUAUAGUUAUUUAUAUUCCUCACAACGCUUACUUCACAUGUGUAAGAUGCACUCUAGCAUAUUAACAAUAAAACAUAAUAUGUAAGGCAAACACGAACAACCACUGCCAAAUAUGGGAAGCGCUUUGUUCAAAAAUUGAAAAAAUAUUAACGAAAAACAAAUAGUUAGUUCAUUUGUGAGUAAAAAUAUGUUUUAAUUAAAUAAUGAAACAUAUUGUUAAAUUUUUCUUUUACAAAAAUCUACAGAACAAACUAAUUUUAAAAAAGUUUACACACAAACGAAAAAACUCGAAUCUUUAAAAACUUAAAUCACCUAAUUAAAAAUUAAAAAAAAAGAACUAUGCCUAAGAAAUAUGAUUGAGAUUCAUGUAAAAAGAAGUAUUCUUAAUUCCUCAUAGAGUAUUAUAUUAUCUACAUAAUGCUAACCAAUUUAGAACAAACCCCUUGUUUACCUAAAUCUGGAGUGAUGCAGAUGGAACAGUAGGAGGAGGAGCAAAGAUUGAAUAACCACCAUAAUAGUCAUUGAUGGCUGUUGCUGUUGUGUUUUAGCUUCAACCAACUUCUUCUUCCUCAACUUCUUUUGCAUAUGGACAAACGCUGACCACUCAUCAUCAUCAGCUCCCUCAGCAACACCCUGGCCCACCGCCCACCGCCCGCCUGAUCAUUCCUGGGAACCCGAACCCGGACGGAAAUAGAAGCCCUCCGGCCUCGCAAACUCCGCAUCCAGACCCCAAAAAGCUCGGUCUGGUUCACCGAUGGGAUUGCGAAUUCGCCACGUCGACAAACGGGGAGGCCUUUGGGGAGAGGAACGCGCUUCUCGGAGCGAUGAGGACGACGACGUGGCGGUGGAGGACGGCAGGCCGUGGGUGUUGGGGGGUUGUGGGGUUGGUGUUUGUUUGGUGGAUUGGAGGUGGCGCUGUUGCUUGUGUUUGGUGCGGGACUUUCGGUCGGAACAGUAGAAGACGUGGGGCGUCGCCCACCUGGGCAAGUAUUCUUGGAGCUGGGCUCGGAUCUUUUCGGAUUCGUCGCGGGGCGGGUUGACAUGCCCGAGUUGAAGAGGCUUCCAGGGAUCCGGAUUGCUCUGGCUUCGGAUUCCACCUGGGUUUUGGCUCGGGGGUUCUUUCUUCAACUUACUACCAUUGUUUCACAUUCACAAAAUACCAAGUUAAAGAUGAACCCUAAAAAGAAAAAAGACAAAAACUAACUGCACAUAAAAGUACAAAAAAUGGAAAAUACACAAAAAAUUAUGAACGAUUGUAGAUUUAAUUCUGAUUACGGGACCCCCCUUUGAAUGCAUAGGCCCAUACAUGAUGAUUUUUUGUGUAAAAGCAAUGAUUUCUCAAACAAAAAACCCUAGAAAAUUUGAUUCUUUCUAAAAUCACAACAUAACUUCUUUCUUGAUAAAAACAGCACUUUUUAUUCAUAGAAUCAAUAAGUGAAACAAGAACAGUUAAACAGACUGCUUGCGUUUUCAAAUUCAGCUUUUUAGGAAAGUUCUGAUAAUCGUUGUAAUUUAAAAAAAUUAUUUUUUUGAGAAAUUUAGAAACAAAUCUUGAUCAUGUUACUCUCAAAAAUUAAUCUUCUUCUAACUUAAUUCUGGAAACAGUUUCGAAAACAAUCAAGUCAAUAAAUUUUCUAAAUUUUGAAAAAAAUGAAAUCAGAAAACAAAAGAGCCUUAGGUUUCAAGACUAAUCUAUGAAGGGUGAGGACUAUGCCUUUUCCGUUAUGUCGUGGAUAGAGAGUGCAACCUCUACAGGGCAAAAGGGGGAGAGGAGAGAGCAAGAGCAGAGGAGAGAGAGAGAGCUUGAAUGACCAUGAUUGAUGAGUGUAUGACAUCAAUUUGACUAACAAAUUGUUAGUGAGAGCAUUACCUGAAGAGUAAGGGGUUUGUGGCAAGCAGUUGACAUGAGAGGGGAAUUAGGGUUGAUGUCAUGCUCCAUUGGUGGUGGUUGCAAGGCUGGGACUUGAACAUACUAGGCCAGUUGCCUGUUUGAAGACGGCCCAUAAUCCCCCUCUUGAUGUUAUGGUGAUUGAAAGCCCAACCAAAACAAAGCGUUAGGGCUUUAUAGCUGAACCCCCCCCUUUGUUUCUUUUUUUUUCUUUUCACAAGACUAACAUGUCUUCUUAUAGCCUCCUCACCUAACCCUGUGUGGAUGGGAUCAGUCAAAUAAAUAAAUUAAAUAAAAGAAAUUAAGAGAAGCACCAGAAAAAAAAAUAGACCAACACCCACAGGAAUCGCCUUUGUGAAGCCAUAAACACGAAUAGAAACCAAAAUAAAUAAAGCAAAGGAUUUUUAGAGUGAGAGAGAAACACUCCCCCUCCUCCCAUAACCUUCCUUACAACCUUGCAUAAAAAUUGCAAAUACUGUACACUGCUCCCAAGUACAAGCCAAUUCCCCGAAGAGAAGCCAAUAGAGAGAGAGAAAGAGGGGUCAUAUUAGAUUCUUCAUCGAGACGCCAGAGAGAGCUCUAAUGCACAAGGGAGAGAGAGAGAGGAGUGGGUUUGUGAUAAGUUUGUCUCUUUGUUUCUAAAUUUUAUUUUGUUUGCAGGGGGGGUUAUUACUGGAGGAGGAAGGGUUGUAGAAGAUAGAUAUUACUGGUAAGUAUUUGAUUAUUCUAAUGAGAAGAGGUGUGUUGCUGAAUAAAUAGAGGGUGAUUUAUUAUAUUCGGUAAAUGUACCAAACCUCUCUCGCCGAGGUUUCUUACCGAAUUCUUUAUAGUUUCUGCUACAAAAUUUAUACUUUUUACUUUUACAAUUAUAUCAAUAUUAUGGCUGAGUUAAGAUUUUAGAAAUAUUAAAAGAUUUCCAAAUGUAUAGGGCUUCAAUUUUUUUUCCUCAUUCUCCAAUUAAAAUAAAUAAAACCACAUCUCUUUUUUAAAAAUAGUUGAUCACAAAGUUUAUUUUAAGCAUGUUUAGUUAAGAGCAUUUAAAAAGAACAUCUUAGAUCAUUUUUUUAAAAAAAAAUCUUUUUGAUAAUAAGUUUUAUUUUUACUAGCAUUUGAUUAAGAGUAUUAAAAGUAAAUUCAUUUAGAUCAUUUUUUAAAAAAGAAUAUGAUUAAAAAAGUUUACAAAUUAGAAUAACGUACAAAUAACUGGUAUUUUAAAUAAAAAAAUAGAGAAUAUUUAUUUAUAUUAAUGGGUAUAUUAAGAAAAAAAAUUGAAAGCCGGUAACAUGAAAGAAUCUUUUCAUGUUGCAUUAAAAUUAGAUUCAGGACGAAUAUUGAUAAUAAUUUAAACAAUAAAGAAGAUUAGUGUUAUUUUAAAAAUAUAGAGAAAAUAGUUUGUAUUUGUCAAAAAAUAUUCAGAGAGUCGGCGAUUUACACUAUAUGAUUUUAUUUCUUUUUUGUAGGAGGGAAUAAAAUAGGGUUUGAAAAGUAAAGAAGGCCAUGCCGGGUUUGAUUUGGAAAUCGGUGGUGGGAGGUAACAUGCCAAGUUCGGUGUACUUUGGCAACGUAAGGGUGGGCUUGUGGAUUGGCCUCGGGGAAAAUUUCCAAUUCUUUGGAUUGCUUGUUAUUUUGCACAUAAAUUCUACUAUUUGCAAUUUUACACUAUGUAAAAAAAAUUGAG
rnacentral:lncRNA from 1 species